rnacentral:rRNA from 1 species
CCAGAAAGUCACGGCUAACUACGUGCCAGCAGCCGCGGUAAUACGUAGGUGGCAAGCGUUAUCCGGAUUUAUUGGGCGUAAAGCGAGCGCAGGCGGUUGCUUAGGUCUGAUGUGAAAGCCUUCGGCUUAACCGAAGAAGUGCAUCGGAAACCGGGCGACUUGAGUGCAGAAGAGGACAGUGGAACUCCAUGUGUAGCGGUGGAAUGCGUAGAUAUAUGGAAGAACACCAGUGGCGAAGGCGGCUGUCUGGUCUGCAACUGACGCUGAGGCUCGAAAGCAUGGGUAGCGAACAGGAUUAGAUACCCUGGUAGUCCAUGCCGUAAACGAUGAGUGCUAGGUGUUGGAGGGUUUCCGCCCUUCAGUGCCGGAGCUAACGCAUUAAGCACUCCGCCUGGGGAGUACGACCGCAAGGUUGAAACUCAAAGGAAUUGACGGGGGCCCGCACAAGCGGUGGAGCAUGUGGUUUAAUUCGAAGCUACGCGAAGAACCUUACCAGGUCUUGACAUCUUGCGCUAACCUUAGAGAUAAGGCGUUCCCUUCGGGGACGCAAUGACAGGUGGUGCAUGGUCGUCGUCAGCUCGUGUCGUGAGAUGUUGGGUUAAGUCCCGCAACGAGCGCAACCCUUGUUACUAGUUGCCAGCAUUAAGUUGGGCACUCUAGUGAGACUGCCGGUGACAAACCGGAGGAAGGUGGGGACGACGUCAGAUCAUCAUGCCCCUUAUGACCUGGGCUACACACGUGCUACAAUGGACGGUACAACGAGUCGCAAGCUCGCGAGAGUAAGCUAAUCUCUUAAAGCCGUUCUCAGUUCGGACUGUAGGCUGCAACUCGCCUACACGAAGUCGGAAUCGCUAGUAAUCGCGGAUCAGCAUGCCGCGGUGAAUACGUUCCCGGGCCUUGUACACACCGCCCGUCACACCAUGGGAGUUUGUAACGCCCAAAGUCGGUGGCCUAACCUUUAUGGAGGGAGCCGCCUAAGGCGGGACAGAUGACUGGGGUGAAGUCGUAACAAGGUAGCCGUAGGAGAACCUGCGGCUG